GAUGAACGCUGGCGGCGUGCCUAAUACAUGCAAGUCGAGCGAACGGACGAGAAGCUUGCUUUUCUGAUGUUAGCGGCGGACGGGUGAGUAACACGUGGAUAACCUACCUAUAAGACUGGGAUAACUUCGGGAAACCGGAGCUAAUACCGGAUAAUAUUUUGAACCGCAUGGUUCAAAAGUGAAAGGCGGUCUUGCUGUCACUUAUAGAUGGAUCCGCGCUGCAUUAGCUAGUUGGUAAGGUAACGGCUUACCAAGGCAACGAUGCAUAGCCGACCUGAGAGGGUGAUCGGCCACACUGGAACGGAGACACGGUCAAGACUCCUACGGGAGGCAGCAGUAGGGAAUCUUCCGCAAUGGGCGAAAGCCUGACGGAGCAGCGCCGCGUGAGUGAUGAAGGUCUUCGGAUCGUAAAACUCUGUUAUUAGGGAAGAACAUAUGUGUAAGUAACUGUGCACAUCUUGACGGUACCUAAUCAGAAAGCAACGGCUAACUACGUG
rnacentral:rRNA from 1 species